UACGUAGGUGGCAAGCGUUGUCCGGAAUUAUUGGGCGUAAAGCGCGCGCAGGCGGUCCUUUAAGUCUGAUGUGAAAGCCCUCGGCUCAACCGAGGAGGGUCAUUGGAAACUGGAGGACUUGAGUGCAGAAGAGGAAAGUGGAAUUCCAAGUGUAGCGGUGAAAUGCGUAGAGAUUUGGAGGAACACCAGUGGCGAAGGCGACUUUCUGGUCUGUAACUGACGCUGAGGCGCGAAAGCGUGGGGAGCAAACAGGAUUGAGAAACCCCGGUA
rnacentral:rRNA from 1 species